UGGACAAAUGCGGCGAAAGCCUGAUCCAGCCAUGCCGCGUGUGUGAAGAAGGUCUUCGGAUUGUAAAGCACUUUAAGUUGGGAGGAAGGGUUGUAGAUUAAUACUCUGCAAUUUUGACGUUACCGACAGAAUAAGCACCGGCUAACUCUGUGCCAGCAGCCGCGGUAAUACAGAGGGUGCAAGCGUUAAUCGGAAUUACUGGGCGUAAAGCGCGCGUAGGUGGUUUGUUAAGUUGGAUGUGAAAUCCCCGGGCUCAACCUGGGAACUGCAUUCAAAACUGACUGACUAGAGUAUGGUAGAGGGUGGUGGAAUUUCCUGUGUAGCGGUGAAAUGCGUAGAUAUAGGAAGGAACACCAGUGGCGAAGGCGACCACCUGGACUAAUACUGACACUGAGGUGCGAAAGCGUGGGGAGCAAACAGGAUUAGAUACCCUGGUAGUCCACGCCGUAAACGAUGUCAACUAGCCGUUGGAAGCCUUGAGCUUUUAGUGGCGCAUCUAACGCAUUAAGUUGCCCGCCU
rnacentral:rRNA from 1 species